rnacentral:rRNA from 1 species
UACGGAGGGGGCUAGCGUUGUUCGGAAUUACUGGGCGUAAAGCGCGCGUAGGCGGACCUGCAAGUCGGGGGUGAAAGCCCGAGGCUCAACCUCGGAACUGCCUUCGAUACUGCGGGUCUCGAGUCCGGGAGAGGUGAGUGGAAUUCCUAGUGUAGAGGUGAAAUUCGUAGAUAUCGAGAGGAACACCGGUGGCGAAGGCGGCCUUCUGGACAGUGACUGACGCUGAGGCACGAAGGCCAGGGGAGCAAACGGG